CCUACGGGGGGCAGCAGUGAGGAAUAUUGGUCAAUGGACGAGAGUCUGAACCAGCCAAGUAGCGUGAAGGAUGACUGCCCUAUGGGUUGUAAACUUCUUUUAUAUGGGAAUAAAAUGUUCCACGUGUGGGAUUUUGUAUGUACCAUAUGAAUAAGGAUCGGCUAACUCCGUGCCAGCAGCCGCGGUAAUACGGAGGAUCCGAGCGUUAUCCGGAUUUAUUGGGUUUAAAGGGAGCGUAGGUGGAUUGUUAAGUCAGUUGUGAAAGUUUGCGGCUCAACCGUAAAAUUGCAGUUGAAACUGGCAGUCUUGAGUACAGUAGAGGUGGGCGGAAUGCGUGGUGUAGCGGUGAAAUGCGUAGAUAUCACGAAGAACUCCGAUUGCGAAGGCAGUUCACUGGACUGCAACUGACACUGAGGCUCGAAAGUGUGGGUAUCAAACAGGAUUAGAUACCCUUGUAGUC
rnacentral:rRNA from 1 species